rnacentral:misc_RNA from 1 species
GGUAUACUGUACUAAUAUGUGUAGGUCCCUGUGACUCAGCAUGGGAGAAGGGGGCGGAACUGCACACUUUCGUGUUCAGAGCAUUGUCGGAGUGAGUAGGCAGCGCCUACCAAGCAAAGCUUUCUUGAAGAGGCUGGGCUGUUUCCUUUUCGGCGCCCGCCUUUUCUUUAGGUGUUGGGGCAAGGCAAGCCCCAGGAAAGUCUAGGUUGGCUCCCAGCUCCAUCUCGGCCGGCAUCCUGCUCUCGAGGGAGUGGAGUCCUGGAGCGAACUACUCAUUGCUGUGUUGCCCCCAACCCAAGGAAGGGCAUUUUGUGAGGAGCAUUAUUUUGAGGGAGGGAAAGCGUGGUUGACAAGCCACUUCGAGGAGGCGACUGGACUGGAGUGCUUUCAUCAAAUGAUGCAUGUGGGCUGAGCCAUUCCCAUCCCAAGUGGUGGCCCGAUUCGGCCUGGCCUGGUCGGGAAGAGAUUCACAUAGAGACUACUGUUAUCCGGGAAUAUCUUUCUAUGUUAGCUAGCGGGGGCGGGCUUUCCUAUGGUAGUCCCGCUGCGGCCUCUGACCGUCCGUCCCGUCUCAUCUUGAUUUGGCUAUACUUGUAUGUAGCCAGCCAUGUUAGCUUCACAUGAGAGCCUUUAGAAAAAGGCUAAAAAGGCACUCAUCAGUCAGCUCGGCCCCUUUCCUAUUCAGCUUUGCCGCCUAUUAAGAGAAUAGGUCCCGUUCAAGCGGCCGCCCACCCUUAUUCAUCUAUACUCGCUGCCACGCACGACCCAAUAGGAACGAUUUCAGCGCCCCUCUCCAGAUAAGAAGCAAAACGCGCCAUCACCUACAGCCCUUUCCUCUGCCGGGGACUUCCAUGAAAUGAAAACGGGCGGCAUCGUCGUAUGCUCGAAAUUUUUUGCCCUUGUUUAUAUCCCGGAGUACUCCUAUGGCCGAUCUGUCACCCAACCUCCUUAAACAACCUAAAGGCUUGGCCCCGUCCCGUUUGGAGUUGGAGAAUGGGCCUUAUGGCACGGCUUAGUCAGUUAUUCUCGCAGUUCAGAUAAGAUUCGGACCGCCACUUCUCUGAAAGCAUGGUUUUUGCCUCCCUCUCUCCUACCUCCUUGGAGCUCGUCCAUUCGUUGGGUGAUCCCUUGCUCUCACGUUCGAGUGUUUGCUCGUCGUUUAGGCCGGUGAGUGAUAUUUCUGCUCAUUGCAGUCACCUCCGGGGUUCUUCGCACCUGGAUAGUACCAGGACCCUUGUGCCCC